CGGGCGGGCGGAGCAGUGAGGGGUGCGGGGGCUGCACACCGAACGCCGCCCGGGGCGGUGCCGCGCCGAUUCCUCGCGCAAACGGCCUGCACGGGAAGCCGCCGGCUCUGCAGCACCCAGGUGCGCCCGGGCCGCGGUUGGCGAGCGGACAACGCCGACCGGGGCGUGGAGGGCGCGGCGGCGCAGGGCCGGGCGGGGACUCGGAGGCCGCGCCGCCGCACGCGCCCCUCUUACCGGCAGAUCUGGAUGGCAGACGGCGUCUCGGCAGCGGGGCCCGACAUGCUGGCGGCGGCGGCUGGCGGCAGGAGAGCGUAGGUGUCCGGCAGGCCUGGCGCUGAAUGAAUGAGCCCGGGCGGCGCCAUGGAAGGGGAGGGAGGAGGCGUGGCCAUGGCGCUAACGGGGCGGGCCCUGAUCACUAACAGGGAAUCGAACACGGCCUUCUGCCAAGGCCCCGCCCCUUGUGCCCGCCCUCGUCCCGCCGGCACGCCUUAGGGGCUCCGCCGGCGUCGGGUUCUGGCAGCGGCGGGGCUCCGCUUCCAGAAGGCGAGCGCUCGGGACCCGGCGGCCGCGUGUGCACGUGGGAGCACAGAGCCGGGAGCCGCAGCCACCCACCGCUGCCCGGUGGGAUCUGCCUGCACUCGCGGCACACCGCCUCGGUCGCUACAGACAGACUUACCGGAAGCGCCGAGCUUUUGCUGGGGCGCGCGUCCUGCCAGGAGGGGCCCCAGAGAUGCCGGUUUGUUGUGUUGCACACCACAUGCCCUGCAGUGGCGUCCAGGCCAAGUCGGGCUCAAAAGCCGCCCCAGAAAAACCCACAGAGGGGGGAAAAGUGAUCACCUUUAUGUGCCGGAAUUAGAGCGCUUUGUACUCCAUGUGAGAUUUGACUUUGUCCAAAUUUUUUACCAUAAACAAAUUGCUUUUGUA